AAUGAGCUUUGGGAAUAAUUUCAUGCUCAAAAAACAUUUUUUAAAUCUUCUACUGGAAAGGUAGUUAAUUUGCAGUAUUGAUGGCACUUGUAUCCAUUAGAUUGCUCCUCAUAACAAUAAUCGCUGCUAUUUUGUUAAGCACAAACUUGAGAAACGAGUGCGGGAGGCCAAAAUACAGAUUUACAAACAUGCUUUGUGAAUCCUUUAACGAAUCGUAUCCAUCUUUUAAGAGAUGUAAACUUAAUUUACUUGGCAGAGGUCGAAUUGGUGUUGAAGUGUACAUAAAGGUAUUUCAACUGCCUAUAGACAACUCAUGGAUAAAUUGGACCAUUUACCGCCGCUAUAGUGGAUUUCGUCCUUUGUCAGCGCUGAUUUCUGACGCCUUUUUAAAAAAUCAAUUUCCUUUCGUUUGAAGGAUUGUUUAUGAAUGCCACCAUGACACGGUCAAAUUUAAAUCCCUCUUGUCUGUGCAAUGCAUCUAUAAAAUACAACUGCGAUAUGCAACUUACAAAGUUUGGAGGGUGACAAUUUUUUUGAAAGAUAAGAAUAAUUGUUUGUAACUGUU